rnacentral:rRNA from 1 species
AGCUUGUUGGUAGGGUAAUGGCCUACCAAGGCUACGAUGGUUAGCUGGUCUGAGAGGAUGAUCAGCCACACUGGAACUGAAACACGGUCCAGACUCCUACGGGAGGCAGCAGUGAGGAAUUUUGCGCAAUGGGGGAAACCCUGACGCAGCAACGCCGCGUGAGUGAAGAAGGCUUUCGGGUCGUAAAGCUCUGUCAAGUGGGAAAAAAAUCUCAUGAUAAAUAGUCAUGAGACUUGAUGGUACCACUGAAGGAAGCACCGGCUAACUCCGUGCCAGCAGCCGCGGUAAUACGGAGGGUGCAAGCGUUGAUCGGAAUUAUUGGGCGUAAAGAGCGUGUAGGCGGUAUGGUAAGUCAGAUGUGAAAGCCCUGGGCUCAACCCAGGAAGUGCAUUUGAUACUGCCAUUCUUGAGUAUGGGAGAGGAGAGUGGAAUUCCUAGUGUAGAGGUGAAAUUCGUAGAUAUUAGGAGGAACACCCGUGGCGAAGGCGGCUCUCUGGACCAAUACUGACGCUGAGACGCGAAAGCGUGGGGAGCAAACAGGAUUAGAUACCCUGGUAGUCCACGCCGUAAACGAUGAGAACUAGGUGUAGCGGGUAUUGACCCCUGCUGUGCCGAAGUUAACGCAUUAAGUUCUCCGCCUGGGGAGUACGGCCGCAAGGCUAAAACUCAAAGGAAUUGACGGGGACCCGCACAAGCGGUGGAGCAUGUGGUUUAAUUCGACGCAACGCGAAGAACCUUACCUGGAUUUGACAUCCUCUGACAACCCUAGAAAUAGGGCCUUUCGACUUGUCGGAACAGAGUGACAGGUGCUGCAUGGCUGUCGUCAGCUCGUGUCGUGAGAUGUUGGGUUAAGUCCCGCAACGAGCGCAACCCUUGUUUUUAGUUGCCAGUAUUAAGUUAGGCACUCUAAAGAUACUGCCUCGGUUAACGGGGAGGAAGGUGGGGAUGACGUCAAGUCCUCAUGGCCUUUAUAUCCAGGGCUACACACGUGCUACAAUGGACUGUACAAAGGGUCGCGACACCGCGAGGUGAAGCUAAUCUCAAAAAACAGUUCUCAGUUCGGAUUGGAGUCUGCAACUCGACUCCAUGAAGGUGGAAUCGCUAGUAAUCGUGGAUCAGCAUGCCACGGUGAAUACGUUCCCGGGUCUUGUACACACCGCCCGUCACACCACGAAAGUCGGCUGUACCAGAAGUUGCUGGGCUAACCCUUCGGGGAGGCAGGUACCUAAGGUACGGUCGGUAAUUGGGGUGAAGUCGUAACAAGGUAGCCGUAGGGGAACCUGUGGCUG